CCUACGGGUGGCAGCAGUGGGGAAUAUUGGACAAUGGGCGAAAGCCUGAUCCAGCCAUGCCGCGUGUGUGAAGAAGGCCUUCGGGUUGUAAAGCACUUUCAGUGGGGAAGAAAGCCUUGGGGCUAAUACCCUCGAGGAAGGACAUCACCCACAGAAGAAGCACCGGCUGACUCCGUGCCAGCAGCCGCGGUAAUACGGAGGGUGCGAGCGUUAAUCGGAAUUACUGGGCGUAAAGCGCGCGUAGGCGGUCUGAUAAGCCGGUUGUGAAAGCCCCGGGCUCAACCUGGGAACGGCAUCCGGAACUGUCAGGCUAGAGUGCAGGAGAGGAAGGUAGAAUUCCCGGUGUAGCGGUGAAAUGCGUAGAGAUCGGGAGGAAUACCAGUGGCGAAGGCGGCCUUCUGGACUGACACUGACGCUGAGGUGCGAAAGCGUGGGUAGCAAACAGGAUUAGAUACCCGUGUAGUC
rnacentral:rRNA from 1 species